rnacentral:lncRNA from 1 species
AGCCCCAGCGGGCGACGACCGAACGCCCCCGGGAACACCGGGCCCCGAGCUCGGUCCCGCGCCCGAGGAUCCUCCACGGGGCUAGAUGGCUGCGUCGGGGGCGGGAGCGGAGGCAACUCCGGCCUUCCCUGCCCUGACCUGGAACCUCUGGGAGGGCUGCAGAGUAAGUGCCGCCUCUGCGCUCCGACGGAGGCACGAGGCCUGUGGAGUAGGUCCCUCUGUUCCGACAGGUGCGACACUUGGCGCUCCAUGCUUGCGGGUGCCGGGAGGCCUGGCCUCCCCCAGGGCCGCCACCUCUGCUGGUUGCUCUGUGCUUUCACCUUAAAGCUCUGCCAAGCAGAGGCUCCCGUGCAGGAAGAGAAGCUGUCAGCAAGCACCUCAAAUUUGCCAUGCUGGCUGGUGGAAGAGUUUGUGGUAGCAGAAGAGUGCUCUCCAUGCUCUAAUUUCCGGGCUAAAACUACCCCUGAGUGUGGUCCCACAGGAUAUGUAGAGAAAAUCACAUGCAGCUCAUCUAAGAGAAAUGAGUUCAAAAGGUGAGUGCU